AUGGGGCCCGGGGGGGGGGGGGGACAGGAGAGAGGGGUCACGUCCUGGUCUGACCGGGGAAGGCUCCUCAGGCAGGUGCAGACAAAGGCCCAGGAGACGGCUUCGUGGGCAGAGAGGAAAGACCGCCAGGCCGAAGGGGCAGCCUGCACGGGGCCCUGGCAGCUGGGACCAUUCACUUCCCGGGAGCACAGGCGACCCUUGGCAGGUGCCACCUAUCACUUCCCGGGGGCACGUGUGGCCCGGGUUGGCGGGACCAGUGGGCAGGACCCACCACUUCCUGGCACAGGCGGCCCAGGGCAGCCCCAGCUCGGUGAAGUCGCCGGCGUGGAUCAGCACGUCGCCAUACGGCAUCUGGAUGGGGUCCGUCCUCGAGUGGGUGUCGGAAACACAGACGAAGCGGGUGUAGCCUGGCGGCUUGGGAGCAUCGUGAGGCACCGGGUCCACCCUGCGGGGAGAGAAGUCCCUGUGGGCCACGGGGUCACAGCGCACCCUGGGGUGCAAGCAGAGCUUAGGACGCCCGGCCCCAUCAACCCAGAUCACAUCCAACCCAACAGGGGCCGCCUGGGUCUGAACCCAGGAAUCUGAACCUGGAAUCUGAGGUCCCGGCUCUGCCGCUCACCGCCGGGCCUGGGUCUGAACCCAGACUGCACACUCGCCAGGCAAAACACAGCCUGUUCCCACAGCCAAAGUCCCCCCCCCCACCCCCAACAUGGGAACCUUAGAGAGCUGCGAAGGUCAAGGGGAUGAUGAGCAAAAGGGCUGGCGCAGCGAGCACCACUGCGUGGACGUGCGGUGGCACCGUCACCCCAGCCUCUCGACAACGCGACGCCGCCCGACCCCUUUUGCCGAGAGCCCAAGAAUGAGUCGUCUCCUACCCCGACCACCCCGCGGGGGAAGCACGGACUCAAGUCCACCGUCAGUCACCAGGACCAGCCCGGCACUGCGGGGCAGGUGGCACUCAGAACCACGUAAUGCUCUGGGCGUCUGCGGCCGGGGCCCGCGGGGGUGGUGCAAGGGAACAGCUGGAAUCUGAGGUCCCGGCUCUGCCACUCACCGCCGGGCCUGGGUUUGCCCAUCUGGAAAACGCAGCCGCUUCCCCAAGCAAGGGGACCCGGAAAAUUCUGAGGGGGCACAGGCAGGUCGCAGCCCUCCUGUCCCACGGCCCGGCUCCCGCUGCCCCCAGCCACGCGCCCCGCAGGGCUCCACACCCGGAAGCAGCAGGCGAUGACAUUUCCACGAGCGGCCCCUCCGGCUGAGCACGCACUGGAGGAGUUUUUGUGUUCAAAUCUAAUUAUGCGGCAAACCGAGAGCCGGGCGUAUCAGUUACAUAAAUACUUUUAAAGACAUCUUUCUAAUUAUCCUUUUUUUUUUUCAGACAAUAUACUCCAAAGAAAUUUAAUUAACACCUUAUGAGAGCCACGGGUUCGGCAUGCUAAUGCGCAGACGUAUGAGGGCACUGUGCCCGCCCACCUCGCCCCCGAGCUGCGGCGGGAGGGGCGCCCGGCCCAGCCCUGGCCCUGGGUGGCGGAGCCAGGGCGCACCCAGCAGGUGACAGCUGGCCGGGCUGAGGGACGGUCCCCCAGGAAGGCGCAGCGCCGUCCACGUCUCCGCCCCACACGGCUGACUCCUGCUCACCACCUGCCCUGAGCUGAACCAGGCCUGACGGCCGUGCGCCAGGGCCAUGGACUGUGGCCGGCCGUGCCCACCCUGGGGGCUUUGGGAAGCCUCUGGAGGAGGCAGCGUCUGACUGAGGUGGGGGCUGGACUCUCCCUCCCCGCGAGUCCCCAGCUCCUGUCCUCUGGGCCCCCCUCCUCCACCAGUCUGCAGGCAGCUAACUGUGGCUCCACCCACAGCCCCGCCCACCCCAUACAGCAGACUGGGCCAAGGGCAGCCAAUCAAGACAGGCAGCAGGUAAAGCCAUCACCUCGGUGCCAGCAUCCCACAUGGGCACCGGUUCAAGUCCCGGCUGCUCCACUUCCCAUCCAGCUCUCUGCUGUGGCCUGGGAAAGCAGUGGAAGAUGGCCCAAGUCCCUGGACCCCUGCACCCACGUGGGAGACCCAGAGGAAGUUCCCGGCUUGGGACUGGCCCAGCUCUAGCCACUGUGGCCAUUUGGGGAAUGAACCAACAGAUGGAAGAUAUCUCUCUCUCUCUCCUCUCUCUGCCUUUCAGAUAAAUAAAUCUUAAAAAAUUAAAAAUUAAAAAAAGGCA
rnacentral:lncRNA from 1 species